CCUACGGGAGGCUGCAGUGGGGAAUAUUGGACAAUGGGGGGAACCCUGAUCCAGCGACGCCGCGUGAGUGAAGAAGUAUUUCGGUAUGUAAAGCUCUAUCAGCAGGGAAGAAAAUGACGGUACCUGACUAAGAAGCCCCGGCUAACUACGUGCCAGCAGCCGCGGUAAUACGUAGGGGGCAAGCGUUAUCCGGAUUUACUGGGUGUAAAGGGAGCGUAGACGGUGCAGCAAGUCUGAUGUGAAAGGUCGGGGCCCAACCCCGGGACUGCAUUGGAAACUGUUGAACUGGAGUGCAGGAGAGGUAAGCGGAAUGCCUAGUGUAGCGGUGAAAUGCGUAGAUAUUAGGCGGAACACCAGUGGCGAAGGCGGCUUACUGGACUGUAACUGACGUUGAGGCUCGAAAGCGUGGGGAGCAAACAGGAUUAGAUACCCGGGUAGUC
rnacentral:rRNA from 1 species